rnacentral:rRNA from 1 species
CGGGACGGGUGAGUAAUGUCUGGGAAACUAGCCUGAUGAGGGGGAGUAACUACUGGAAACGGUAGCUAAUACCGCAUAACGUCGCAAGACCAAAGAGGGGGACCUCGGGCCUCUUGCCAUCGGAUGUGCCCAGAUGGGAUUAGCUAGUAGGUGGGGUAACGGCUCACCUAGGCGACGAUCCCUAGCUGGUCUGAGAGGAUGACCAGCCACACUGGAACUGAGACACGGUCCAG